CACGACGUAUGCUUUCUUCAUGCAGUCGAGCGCACUCUUCGGAGUGAGCGGCGGACGGGUUAGUAACGCGUGGGAAUGUACCCAGAUCUAAGGAAUAGCCUCGGGAAACUGAGAGUAAUACCUUAUACGCCCUUCGGGGGAAAGAUUUAUCGGAUUUGGAUCAGCCCGCGUUAGAUUAGAUAGUUGGUGGGGUAAUGGCCUACCAAGUCUACGAUCUAUAGCUGGUUUUAGAGGAUGAUCAGCAACACUGGGACUGAGACACGGCCCAGACUCCUACGGGAGGCAGCAGUGGGGAAUCUUGGACAAUGGGCGCAAGCCUGAUCCAGCCAUGCCGCGUGAGUGAUGAAGGCCUUAGGGUCGUAAAGCUCUUUCGCCAGGGAUGAUAAUGACAGUACCUGGUAAAGAAACCCCGGCUAACUCCGUGCCAGCAGCCGCGGUAAUACGGAGGGGGUUAGCGUUGUUCGGAAUUACUGGGCGUAAAGCGUACGUAGGCGGGUUGUUAAGUUAGAGGUGAAAUCCCAGGGCUCAACCCUGGAACUGCCUUUAAUACUGGCAACCUAGAGUUCGAGAGAGGUGAGUGGAAUUCCGAGUGUAGAGGUGAAAUUCGUAGAUAUUCGGAGGAACACCAGUGGCGAAGGCGGCUCACUGGCUCGAUACUGACGCUGAGGUA
rnacentral:rRNA from 1 species